rnacentral:rRNA from 1 species
GAUCCUGGCUCAGGAUGAACGCUGGCGGCGUGCUUAACACAUGCAAGUCGAACGGUGAAGGCGGAGCUUGCUCUGCUGGAUCAGUGGCGAACGGGUGAGUAACACGUGAGCAAUCUGCCCCUGACUCUGGGAUAAGCGCUGGAAACGGCGUCUAAUACUGGAUACGAGCUGCGAAGGCAUCUUCAGCAGCUGGAAAGAACUUCGGUCAGGGAUGAGCUCGCGGCCUAUCAGCUUGUUGGUGAGGUAAUGGCUCACCAAGGCGUCGACGGGUAGCCGGCCUGAGAGGGCGACCGGCCACACUGGGACUGAGACACGGCCCAGACUCCUACGGGAGGCAGCAGUGGGGAAUAUUGCACAAUGGGCGCAAGCCUGAUGCAGCAACGCCGCGUGAGGGAUGACGGCCUUCGGGUUGUAAACCUCUUUCAGUAGGGAAGAAGCGAAAGUGACGGUACCUACAGAAGAAGCACCGGCUAACUACGUG